rnacentral:tRNA from 1 species
UGGGGCGUGGCCAAGUGGUAAGGCAACGGGUUUUGGUCCCGCUAUUCGGAGGUUCGAAUCCUUCCGUCCCAGA